rnacentral:rRNA from 1 species
UACGUAGGGGGCGAGCGUUGUCCGGAUUUAUUGGGCGUAAAGAGCUCGUAGGCGGUUGUCGAAGUCGGGUGUGAAAACUCCGGGCUCAACUCGGAGACGCCACUCGAUACUGCUAUGACUCGAGUCCGGUAGGGGAGUGCGGAAUUCCUGGUGUAGCGGUGAAAUGCGCAGAUAUCAGGAGGAACACCGGUGGCGAAGGCGGCACUCUGGGCCGGUACUGACGCUGAGGAGCGAAAGCGUGGGGAGCGAACAGG